AUGGCAGAAGCCUCGGCUCUUAAAUUUGGUAUAACAUUGACACAAAGGGCGGGAUGUAAUUGCCUUAUUAUUAACUCGGACAAUCUAAAGGUGAUUGAUACCAUGAAGAACGGAGGACAGUCGGCGGCGUCAAUUUUCGACGACUGUUUUCAUUAUGCUUGUGACUUCGUUGCUACUAGAUUCGAACACUGUAACAGGGAAGCAAAUAAAGUAGCUCAUAAGCUUGCGAGUUUAGCUAGAUUUUCGUUGAUUUCUGAUUGGUUUGAGGAACCUGUAAAUGAAAUUGUAAUGACCCUCACAAAUGAUGUACUUGCUAUCUCUAAUGAAUAA
rnacentral:rRNA from 1 species